UGAACGCUGGCGGCAGGCCUAACACAUGCAAGUCGAGCGGUAACAGANAGUAGCUUGCUACUUUGCUGACGAGCGGCGGACGGGUGAGUAAUGCUUGGGAACAUGCCUUGAGGUGGGGGACAACAGUUGGAAACGACUGCUAAUACCGCAUAAUGUCUACGGACCAAAGGGGGCUUCGGCUCUCGCCUUUAGAUUGGCCCAAGUGGGAUUAGCUAGUUGGUGAGGUAAUGGCUCACCAAGGCGACGAUCCCUAGCUGGUUUGAGAGGAUGAUCAGCCACACUGGGACUGAGACACGGCCCAGACUCCUACGGGAGGCAGCAGUGGGGAAUAUUGCACAAUGGGCGCAAGCCUGAUGCAGCCAUGCCGCGUGUGUGAAGAAGGCCUUCGGGUUGUAAAGCACUUUCAGUCAGGAGGAAAGNKURGURGUUAAUACCYRYYAKSUGUGACGUUACUGACAGAAGAAGCACCGGCUAACUCCGUGCCAGCAGCCGCGGUAAUACGGAGGGUGCGAGCGUUAAUCGGAAUUACUGGGCGUAAAGCGUACGCAGGCGGUUUGUUAAGCGAGAUGUGAAAGCCCCGGGCUCAACCUGGGAACUGCAUUUCGAACUGGCAAACUAGAGUGUGAUAGAGGGUGGUAGAAUUUCAGGUGUAGCGGUGAAAUGCGUAGAGAUCUGAAGGAAUACCGAUGGCGAAGGCAGCCACCUGGGUCAACACUGACGCUCAUGUACGAAAGCGUGGGGAGCAAACGGGAUUAGAUACCCCGGUAGUCCACGCCGUAAA
rnacentral:rRNA from 1 species